rnacentral:rRNA from 1 species
GCGCGGGUAGCAAUACCAGCGGCGAAAGGGACAGUAAUGUGUAGGUCAUCUGCCCUCGGGACGGGAAUAGCCACGGGAAACUGUGGGUAAUGCCCGAUGACAUCUUCGGAUCAAAGGUGUGAGUCCGCCCGGGGAUGAGCCUACAUCCUAUUAGCUAGUUGGCGGGGUAACGGCCCACCAAGGCUUUGAUGGGUAGCGGGUGUGAGAGCACGACCCGCGUCAUUGGGACUGAGACACUGCCCAGACACCUACGGGUGGCUGCAGUCGAGAAUCUUCGGCAAUGGACGCAAGUCUGACCGAGCGACGCCGCGUGCGGGAUGAAGGCCUUCGGGUUGUAAACCGCUGUCAGUGGGGAGGAAGGCUGUGUGAAGAGCACGGUUUGACCUAUCCGCAGAGGAAGUGAGGGCUAAGCUCGUGCCAGCAGCCGCGGUAAGACGAGCCUCACAAACGUUAUUCGGAAUUACUGGGCUUAAAGGGUGCGUAGGCGGCGCGGAAAGUUGGGUGUGAAAUCCCUCGGCUCAACCGAGGAAUUGCGCUCAAAACUACCGUGCUUGAGGGAGAUAGAGGAGCGCGGAACUUAGGGUGGAGCGGUGAAAUGCGUUGAUAUCCUAGGGAACACCGGUGGCGAAAGCGGCGCUCUGGAUCUCAUCUGACGCUGAUGCACGAAAGCUAGGGUAGCGAACGGGAUUAGAUACCCCGGUAGUCC